rnacentral:tRNA from 1 species
GCCUUCAUAGCUCAGCGGAAGAGCGUUUCGCUACGGACGAAAAGGUCGGGGGUUCGAAUCCCUCUGGGGGCA